rnacentral:rRNA from 1 species
UAGAGUUUGAUCCUGGCUCAGGAUGAACGCUAGCUACAGGCUUAACACAUGCAAGUCGAGGGGCAGCGGGAUUGAAGCUUGCUUCAAUUGCCGGCGACCGGCGCACGGGUGAGUAACGCGUAUCCAACCUUCCGUACACUCAGGGAUAGCCUUUCGAAAGAAAGAUUAAUACCUGAUAGUAUCUUAAGCACACAUGUAAUUAAGAUUAAAGAUUUAUCGGUGUACGAUGGGGAUGCGUUCCAUUAGGUAGUAGGCGGGGUAACGGCCCACCUAGCCAACGAUGGAUAGGGGUUCUGAGAGGAAGGUCCCCCACAUUGGAACUGAGACACGGUCCAAACUCCUACGGGAGGCAGCAGUGAGGAAUAUUGGUCAAUGGACGAGAGUCUGAACCAGCCAAGUAGCGUGAAGGAUGAAGGUCCUACGGAUUGUAAACUUCUUUUAUAAGGGAAUAAACCCUCCCACGUGUGGGAGCUUGUAUGUACCUUAUGAAUAAGCAUCGGCUAACUCCGUGCCAGCAGCCGCGGUAAUACGGAGGAUGCGAGCGUUAUCCGGAUUUAUUGGGUUUAAAGGGAGCGCAGACGGGUCGUUAAGUCAGCUGUGAAAGUUUGGGGCUCAACCUUAAAAUUGCAGUUGAUACUGGCGUCCUUGAGUGCGGUUGAGGUGUGCGGAAUUCGUGGUGUAGCGGUGAAAUGCUUAGAUAUCACGAAGAACUCCGAUUGCGAAGGCAGCACACUAAUCCGUAACUGACGUUCAUGCUCGAAAGUGUGGGUAUCAAACAGGAUUAGAUACCCUGGUAGUCCACACGGUAAACGAUGGAUACUCGCUGUUGGCGAUAUACUGUCAGCGGCUUAGCGAAAGCGUUAAGUAUCCCACCUGGGGAGUACGCCGGCAAC